rnacentral:lncRNA from 1 species
UGCAGAUGGUUCCUGUAAAUAGCGCUUAAAACCACAGUGGAAAAGCCACAUGCUCCUGAUACACUUGGGGGGACAUAAAGGGAAACCCACACACCCAAGGAGGAGGGCUCUGGCCAUGCAAGGCUGAAGGCCCAGUGUACUGAUAUGAAAACUGAAGCUCAGACAGAAGAGGCGACGUUGCUUUCUUAACCACUGGAUUUGCAGUGCUGUGGUUCUCAGAAGAGGCCAGGACAGGUUAAUCCACUCACUUGGGAGGCAGCCGGUGCAGAGCUGAGAAUUUACCCCAGGCUACCAGCCUUCCGGCUGAGAGAGCAAGCUGACGCACGGUUCCUCAGCUGUCCCAUGGAGCCUGUUGCGGCCAUCCACCUCCUUCAAAGGGUUGAAUGUACAGCUGGUAUAAAAAUGGUGCUUUGUCGUCAUGAAGAAGGUGUAUUCUGGGAUCAAACCACCUGGCUGGAGAUGCUUACUAACCUCAGUUUCUUCAUCUGACCUUACCUUUCUAAAAGAAUAAGAAGAAGAUGAUACAUAUUCCUCUAAAGUCCCAACAGGAACCUUUUCCCCUCACUCCCUCCCCAGAGAUGUGUAUCAUUUCCAUGAGUGUCUGUACUUUUACAACAUGUGCAUAUUAAUAAACAAAAUAUGACAAAUUAUUUUGUCUUAAUAUUUGCA